GAUGAAGAACGUAGCGAAAUGCGAUAAGUAAUGUGAAUUGCAGAAUUCAGUGAAUCAUCGAAUCUUUGAACGCACAUUGCGCCCGCCAGUAUUCUGGCGGGCAUGCCUGUUCGAGCGUCAUUACAACCCUCAGGCCCCCGGGCCUGGCGUUAGGGAUCGGCGGAGCCCCCCGUGGGCACACGCCGUCCCCCAAAUGCAGUGGCGGUCCCGCCGCAGCUUCCAUCGCGUAGUAGCUAACACCUCGCGACUGGAGAGCGGCGCGGCCACGCCGUAAAACACCCAACUCUUCUGAAGUUGACCUCGAAUCAGGUAGGAAUACCCGCUGAACUUAAGCAUAUCAAUAAGCGGAGGA
rnacentral:misc_RNA from 1 species